GGGCCGGCGAGGGGCUCCGUGGGCCGCGCGGUCGGCUGGCGCCGGGGUAUGCCCACGUGGAGUGCUGGUGGCGGGGAGAGGCCGCGGAGCCAGCGGCUUGGAGGUCGGAGUGAGCGGGAGACGCGUCCCGGGUGACGGCUGGGAGAGAUACGGGAAACUUCACUCUUUAUCUCUGCCUUUUGGCUAUCACCUAAUUAGCACACAGGCUUCCUGCAUGCCAUCUAUACCUGCCUGUUUCCGAGGGGUAAAGGAAGCUACAUUCAAGUCUUGAGAGAAAGUUCAAGAUGGCUGUGUAGAAGAUCCUGAAUUCACUUCCUCCCAUGGACACACAUAUGGAACAAGUCCCUCUGAAAAAGACCUGAAAACUAGCUGAACAGCUCCUCCACAACGAAGGAUAAAAGAGCCACAUCGAGACAGAUAAUGACUCUGGGGAAGGAAGAGAAACUCCAGAACUACUUUGUUCUCUUCAAAGACUGAGCCUCAGGAGAAAAAUUUCAGCUGGACCAGUCAACCCUAUGAGAAGUGCCAUGGAAGUGUUAAAGAAAAGGAUCUAGAGGCCAGAAUAUAUGAUAGCAGAAAAGCUUCAGAAGUAUGGAUGAUCUUAGGUUUUAAUAGGACAGUACUUGUGCUUGCAUGGAAAACUCUUGGCUACUUACUUUAUGAGAGUGGGAGAGUCAUGUGUUCUGGAUGCCAAGGGAGAAGUCUUUCCAGUGGCUGGCUGAUUCCAAAAGAAAUCAGAUGAC